GAGGAAGGAUCUCUUUCUGGAGAUUCCUCCUUUUGGUGUUUUCUACUAUGAGUCUACGCCAUGGAGGAGGUAGAACAAAUGUAUUUUUCAAGUACCCAAGACCAGGAACUCAUUUUUGCAGAAUAGUUAAGUUUGUGCUACAGACUACCAGAUUAGUUAUUAUUUACUGGCUGGCAGAGCAGGAACACAGCAUGUUUGGAAACAUAACAGAAAAACAGGGAGCUUUUGCAGGAGCAAAGUAACCAUCUCCAACAUCCCCAGGAAAGAUCUACAUAAGAGGUGAGGAUCUCAGUGAAACUGUAUUCAGCUGUUGGUGCUGGUAGAGAUCUGUUCUUGAUCUCAUAAUAUGCCUCAUUCUACCACAUUGUAUUGAACCCUGUGAGCUGUCAACCUACUGCAGAACUAACCACCAAAGGAAUCUGAGUGGUCUUUCUGAUGUGUCAGGUUUUGUUGUCCUUUUCCUUCAAAUAUCAAUCUUUAAGAAUGUCAGUCUCUCAGGAGAAAAGCUGUUUAAUA